rnacentral:rRNA from 1 species
GUUUGAUCAUGGCUCAGAACGUACGCUGGCGGCACGCCUAACACAUGCAAGUCGAACGAAGUAGCAAUACUUAGUGGCAGACGGGUGAGUAACAUGUGGGUAUCUGCCCUUUGGCCUGGAAUAACACGAGGAAACUUGUGCUAAUACCGGAUAAGUCUUUACGGAGAAAGCUUUAUGCACCAUUGGAUGAGCCCGCACUUGAUUAGUUAGUUGGUAGGGUAAUGGCCUACCAAGACUGUGAUCAAUAGCUGAUUUGAGAGGAUGAUCAGCCACACUGGGACUGAGAUACGGCCCAAACUCCUACGGGAGGCAGCAGUGGGGAAUCUUGCACAAUGGAGGAAACUCUGAUGCAGCGAUGCCGCGUGAGUGAAGAAGGCCUUUGGGUUGUAAAGCUCUUUUGUAGGGGAAGAUAAUGACUGUACCCUAAGAAUAAGGUCCGGCUAACUUCGUGCCAGCAGCCGCGGUAAUACGAAGGGACCUAGCGUAGUUCGGAAUUACUGGGCGUAAAGCGCGCGUAGGCCGUUGAGUUAGUUAAUUGUGAAAUCCCAAAGCUUAACUUUGGAACUGCAAUUAAAACUGCUCGACUAGAGUUUGAUAGAGGAAAGCGGAAUACAUAGUGUAGAGGUGAAAUUCGUAGAUAUUAUGUAGAACACCAGUUGCGAAGGCGGCUUUCUGGAUCAACACUGACGCUGAGGCGCGAAAGUAUGGGUAGCAAAGAGGAUUAGAUACCCUCGUAGUCCAUACCAUAAACGAUGAUUGCUAGAUGUUGGAAAUUUAUUUUCAGUAUCGCAGCUAACGCAUUAAGCAAUCCGCCUGGGGAGUACGACCGCAAGGUUAAAACUCAAAGGAAUUGACGGGGACCCGCACAAGCGGUGGAUGAUGUGGUUUAAUUCGAUGCAACGCGAAAAACCUUACCCACCUUUGACAUGUACGGAAGUCGCUAGAGAUAGCUUCGUGCUCGAAAGAGAACCGUAACACAGGUGCUGCAUGGCUGUCGUCAGCUCGUGUCGUGAGAUGUUGGGUUAAGUCCCGCAACGAGCGCAACCCCUACUUUUAGUUGCCAUCAGGUUAUGCUGGGCACUCUAAUAGAACUGCCUGUGAUAAACAGGAGGAAGGUGGGGAUGACGUCAAGUCCUCAUGGCCCUUACGGGUUGGGCUACACACGUGCUACAAUGGUAAGUACAAUGAGAUGCCGAGCAGCGAUGCUUAGCCAAACUCAAAAACUUACCUCAGUUCGGAUUGCACUCUGCAACUCGAGUGCAUGAAGCUGGAAUCGCUAGUAAUCGUGGAUCAGCGUGCCACGGUGAAUACGUUCCCGGGUCUUGUACACACCGCCCGUCACACCAUGGAAAUUGGUUUUACCUUAAGGCAAGUUAUUAACCCUCGGGAAAUGCUUGACUACGGUUAAAUCAGUAACUGGGGUGAAGUCGUAACAAGGUAGCCGUA